GAAACCAGAAACAUUACUCCAUCUCUUCAUCUUCAAUCUAAUUCCAUUUCCAUAAAUCACCAAUCUUCAUCACUCAAUUCUCCAUUUUCUCUUCAUAACAACCAACCUGUUUCUAUAAACCACCAUCAAUUCCUCCAAUUCCCGCACCCAGUUCCGAAACAUAUACUCCCUCAGUAUAAACCCAAACAUACCCUUACCCAUACAACAACACCAAUCUAUAUUAUCACUAUUAUUUUCCUCUCACAACUCUCACAAAAACGAAGCUCACGCUGCUUUCCUCGUUCCAAUUUCGUACACUGUCAAACCUGCUUCCGCCGGUAG